rnacentral:rRNA from 1 species
UACGGGGGGGGGCAAGCGUUGUUCGGAAUUACUGGGCGUAAAGGGCUCGUAGGCGGCCAACUAAGUCCGACGUGAAAUCCCCAGGCUUAACCUGGGAACUGCGUCGGAUACUGGAUGGCUUGAAUCCGGGAGAGGGAUGCGGAAUUCCAGGUGUAGCGGUGAAAUGCGUAGAUAUCUGGAGGAAUACCGGUGGCGAAGGCGGCAUCCUGGACCGACAUUGACGCUGAGGAGCGAAAGCCAGGGGAGCAAACAGG